rnacentral:rRNA from 1 species
CAGUUCGGAUUGCAGGCUGCAACCCGCCUGCAUGAAGUCGGAAUCGCUAGUAAUCGCGGGUCAGCAUACCGCGGUGAAUACGUUCCCGGGCCUUGUACACACCGCCCGUCACACCACGAAAGUUGGUAACACCCGAAGCCGGUGGCCUAACCCUUAGGGGAGGGAGCUGUCGAAGGUGGGACUGAUGAUUGGGGUGAAGUCGUAACAAGGUAAC